rnacentral:rRNA from 1 species
GAUGAACGCUGGCGGCGUGCUUAACACAUGCAAGUCGAACGGUGAAGGCGGAGCUUGCUCUGCUGGAUCAGUGGCGAACGGGUGAGUAACACGUGAGCAAUCUGCCCCUGACUCUGGGAUAAGCGCUGGAAACGGCGUCUAAUACUGGAUACGAGCUGCGAAGGCAUCUUCAGCAGCUGGAAAGAAUUUCGGUCAGGGAUGAGCUCGCGGCCUAUCAGCUUGUUGGUGAGGUAAUGGCUCACCAAGGCGUCGACGGGUAGCCGGCCUGAGAGGGUGACCGGCCACACUGGGACUGCGACACGGCCCAGACUCCUACGGGAGGCAGCAGUGGGGAAUAUUGCACAAUGGGCGAAAGCCUGAUGCAGCAACGCCGCGUGAGGGACGACGGCCUUCGGGUUGUAAACCGCUUUUAGCAGGGAAGAAGCGAAAGUGACGGUACCUGCAGAAAAAGCGCCGGCUAACUACGUG